UAGAAAAGGCAUCUUUAGUGCAUUCUUUGUACAAUUUUGGCUUCCUAGUCUCCUCAAAGUGUUCUAGAUUUGACCUUUUUCUAAGAGGGUAGUGUUUGAAGAGCUGCUGGACCUGAUAAAGAUUCUGUAUAGCAAAUUUAAAAACAGCUGUGCACUAGGUUGGAGGUUUGUGUUUCUGUGAUUUUGUGCUGUGGUGGGUCUGGCUUGGUAUUAAACACCAGACAGCUGCCUCCUCUGAAAGACUCCACAUGCAGCCACAGGCCUGUCAUCAGCAAUGCCACUGCUCAUUUGCCAUAAUUCAUCCUCCGUUGCUGAAAGCUCAGAUGACCUGCAAGGGUACCUGACCACACCACCAGGCACAGGAGUCGGGCCAGGGAGCAUUUAUGCUGGACGAGGGACCAGUGGGCCUCAGUGCUGUUCUCUGAUGAAAGUCGAUUCACACUGAGCAGAAAUGAUGGCCGCCAACGAUGUUGGAGAUAUCAAGGAGAGCGCUAUGCAUCAGCCACUGUUGUGGUGGUGUUACAGUCUGGGCAGGCCUAAUGUCAUCUUCGUGGACGACAAUGCUCCAGCUCAUCGAGGUCACAUCAUUAGAGAACGGCUGCUGGAGGCUGGGGUACCUCAAAUGGAGUGGCCUGCACUUUCUCCAGACCUGAAUCCCAUAGAAAACCUAUGGGAUCAGCCGAGUCGCCGUGUAGAGGCUCGUAACCCUGCACCCCAGAACCUCAAUGACCUGAGGGCCGCCCUUCAAGAAGAGUGGAAUGCCAUCACCCAAAAGCCAAAUAUCCUUAACUUUUUGUCAGUAGUGUAUAUGCAUGUCUUACUUCUAUAGAAUUUGAGACAUCUUUUCAAAAUAGUAUAGAAUGAGUAAAUAACUUGUAUAUUGGAUUUGUAUAUGUUCAAUAAUGAUUGACACAUUAUGCUGUCUAGAUAGCAGUUCCCCAGGAAAUAUAUUACAGUGUAUAUUUGAACUUUAGGUUGUUUAUGCUUCAUCAUAAACAAUUCAGCAUGCAGUUUGCGUACUUGUUUGAAUGUACUAUGUUGUGUCUUCCUGUCAUCAAAUAAGAGAUAUGUGCAUGUGCAUAUGCUUUACAGAUGGGAGUAUUAUAUUCUGUACUAUCCAUAUCAUAAUAACCCAGUUGUUACAGCCAUAUAUGAUAUAUAUUAUAUCCCAAAGACCACUGACCUUGCUUUUGCCUUCAGACAAACAAAAAUGAUGGUCCACUGAACUGAUACCAGUAAAGAACAAACAGACAGGGUUCUCAGCUGGAGCUACACACUACAUUGGAAGAAGACCAAUGACCUGCUCUGGGUGGGAGAGGGAAUGAACCUCAUCUGACUCAUAUUGACACCAGAUUACGAAGAAGAAUUUCAAAAUGUCUGGGUGCCUGAGUGUUCAGCCAAGAAAAGCAUGGGGAGAAAACAUAGAUAGAAUACAGAGUGUCUUAUUGAUUUUUGUGACUAACUGAAAUGGUCAAGUUGUCUUUUUCAGACUAAGUAGUGAAGAUAAAAUCCUUGGCAUUUAUCAAGUUUACUGUCUGUCAAAUUAAUCCUAAAAGACAACAGCAUACAGUCUGUAUUAUGCUUUCUCCCAGCUUCCAUCACAUCUGCACUGGACUAUGUUUUUGAUUGCUUAAUUAGUGCACUGGAAGAUAGCAAAGAGGAAAAAUAUGGACUCGAUCAAGAUCAGUGGAUCUUGUUAGUUUUUUUCACUUGUUUAUGGCUGGUUCGGAUGCUUCCUGUUGGGUCAGGAAAACUCACACAUGCAUGCAUAUACAUACAUAUAUACGCACACAUGCAUACCUGAAGUAAUAAAGCAUGACUUGAAGCCAGGAAAACAAAGCUAGGCUUGUGUGUGUAAGGAGAUUUACAUUUUUCCUCUCAACAGG